CUGUGCGCUACGUCAACGAUCGGAGCUGGUUCCAGGGCCUGAGCGUGGCUGGGGCUGGAUCAGUGGCUAGGCUGGAGCAGCGGGCAGGGCUGAAGAUGUGGAUUCCUAUCCAGCACGUCACUAACCCCUGUCUGAAGCUUUCAAAUUGCUGAGACUCACCAGGACCCAUGCCCCUGCCUUACAGCCGAGCCAGCAAACAACUGUCCCAGCAAUAAUACGGCAGCGAGAGGAUAUGAAAUGUGGCCUGUCAUCUGUACAAGAGUCUGUUCCAGCCAAAUGAAGAAAUCAAUAAACUCCUCUUGAAAGAGAGAAACCAAAACCAAAUCCCCAGAUCUGAAGAUCAUCAAAUUCUGGAGAAGCCUGGUGAUGCCAAGAUGGUCCUUUUUCUGUUCUUUGGUAUUUGGGGGCAGUAGCAGAAUCAAUGUAGACCUCCUGUAGGAGUGGCAAUAUUUUAGUGUAAGAAUAUAUGUGGCUCCAAUAUCUUUAAUAUCAAAAGACUAAGGGUCUGAGCCAAAUCCUACUGAAUUCAUAUAAAGUUUUUCCUUUGACUUCCAAUGGCUUUGGAUCAGGCCCUAAAACUUUAAAAGUCAAAUGUGAAACGUGGA
rnacentral:lncRNA from 1 species